rnacentral:lncRNA from 1 species
GGGGCCCGGGGAGGGGCCGGGGCUGUUUACCAUCGGGACAGUUUCCAUCAGUCUGUGGUUGGCUGCGGCAUUCACAGCAGCUGAAUCAGCCCUGCUGGGGGAAAGCCAGUGGUCCCGUCCGCUUCUCAGGGUGCCUCGCACUCCCUGGUGCGUGUUCCCCAUCUCUGCCCAGCCAGAUUCCUGGGAGCGUCUGCAGAUGGCUGUUCUGCACCAGCCGGCCGUGCCAGAAUGUCCUGGCGUACAGCUGGGUGGCCUCUUUGCCUGCAGAAGCUCAUGUGCAACCCUGACAUCUGAGGAACGAGCAGUUUCUGCUUUAUCAGGAGGAAUCUUCCUCUCGCUCUAUCACCCUCCUGUUCCGGACGCCGCUGUCAAUCUUCCCGGCUGGGCGCCGCAGGAGCGGAUGCCUCUCUGCGUCAGGCAUCCAGGGCUCUUCCUCUGCAAAACAGGAGGGGCCUGGGUUUCCCGAACCACGAACAGAUGUCGACGUGAAGGAGGCUCCCCACCUGCCAAGCCAACGGCCGGCUUCCUUUCUCAUCCUUCAGGGCUCUGAGUAACAAGACCUUUAGAAAAGCGUGGCAUGCGCGCUGCGGUUACCACUUUCUCCCAAGACCAGCUCCAUGAACUCCGGAGCGUGAGAAAUCAGCCGGCGGUGGCGUGUUCUAAGAUGAGAGGCAGAGGUGACAGGGAACCAACGUGCACAUCGCUCUGGAGGCCUGGCUUCCUGCAACCCGCUCAGAAGGACAGUGAGGACGGGUUGGGCGCCUGUCUUGAUGGAGAAACUCUUAGAAAUUCCUCUUGCCUUUCACAGCCUGACACCUGUUCAGGUGAGGCUCGAGAUGGCAGAGCUUCAGUACGUUUUUUUUGUUGUUGUUGUUCAUAAUAUUUUUACUUCUAAUACAUAUGUCUGGCUUCAAAUCAGAUACCUUCAGCCCUCCUAGAACCAUUGCAACCUAGGAGCUUCCUGGCCCAAUCAUGCUGUGCGGAGUCAUCCGCCCUCUGAUUUUAGUUGUUCUGCAGAAAUUAGCAGUAAUCACUCUAAAUAAUAAUUGUAGAUAUAAUCUGCUGACUUCUUGUUAUGGAAAUGAAGGGUUAGCUUUCUCUUCCUGUCUCCAGGCCCACUUGUCCCUCACUUUCGAGGAGAGUUCUUGUAUUUCUUCCUAUCUUAGCUGCAAAUGUUGAUGAAAUUUACCAUUAUUUUAUUAGGUGCCACAAUAGAAGAAGAAUGCUUCCAAUUACACCAUGAUAUGAUACUUUUUUAUCAUAACAACGUUAAGAUGUGUUCUGAUUUUCAAGACCUUACAACGGGGAAAACAUGGUUUUAAAAAUAUUUAUUAUGAGUCAGGACAUCAUAUCUAAGGAAAUCACUGGGUUAGUAUUUGCAAGUAUUAACAUUGUUUUGACCGUGUAAAUAUUGUUGACAGUGAACUGUGAUUACAUUUCUCUGUACAUCUUUUGCUCUCUGGAGUUAAUAAUUGCUUUAUCUUCUUAUUUUAUGUAUAUAUAUACUUUAUACAUAUAUAUGUAUAUAUAUAUAUAUAAAAUAGUUCAUCCCUGAGCUUCCCUUUGUGUGAUGAACACACUGGUCAUCUCUCUGUGGCCUUUCGUUUCAUGUGAGGACAUCUUCCUGGAACUAUCAUCAUGCUCCAAACUCAGACAGGCUUCUCAGGCCCACUGUUGUGACCCCAGAGCUUCCUUGAACCCCCUCUUGGGAAUCUUCUUUCCUUGUAUCUUGUGUUGGAUCCUCUGUUUCUUGGAGCUUGUAUCUUCUUUCUUGGCCAGUUCUUCCUUUUGUUGGAGCAUAUCCUCCAGUGGCUUUGGGAGAAAGGGUUCAUGGCAGGUAAAUAUUUAGAGACCUUGCAAUAAUGUCUCUGCUCUCCCGUUGCACCUGAUGGCUUAUUCAGGCAUAGAACUAUACUUUGAAAAUAUAUUUUUUGUGUGUGCGUGUUAGAGUCUUCCCUGAAAUGUCUGGUGAUUGCUGCACUCAAGUAAUGUGUACAUGGGUGAAGCUUGUCAACUAGGAGUCUCACUGUGGGGUGAUUCUGCAGACACUUGAAUGUUUCACUAAGGCAUCUUUUUUUUUUUUUUUUUUUAAACAUUCCGGAAUCCUAUUCCAUUCAUACAUGAUAGCUAAGGUUUGAUGAUACAGAAAAACUUUUUUUUUUUUUUUUAGAGAGAGAGAGAGGAUUUUUUUAAUAUUUAUUUUUUAGUUUUCGGUGGACACAGCAUCUUUAUUUUUUAUUUUUAUGUGGUGCUGAGGAUCGAACCCAGCGCCUCGCGCAUGCCAGGCGAGCAUGCUACCGCUUGAGCCACAUCCCCAGCCCCUCACUAAGGCAUCUUGCUAGACCAUUCUCUGCAGUCUUUCUGGCCAGUUUCCCCAGCAGUGAAUCCUCUAAUCUUCUGCCUGUGGUGUUAAAGCCCCAUUGCCAACAUUAUGGGAGCAGAGAAGGGGGAAGGGGACUGUGGAAUCUCACAAUUCAGAGCACAUACUUUUUAAAAAAAAUUAUUUUAAUCUGUUAUGUAUGACAGCAGAACACAUUACAAUUCAUAUUACAAAUAUAGAGCACAAUUUUUCAUAUCUCUGGUGGUACACAAAGUAGAGUCACGCCACUCGUGUUCAGAGCACAGACUUUUAGUUCUCUGUUUCCAGAGUGUAUGGCAAGCAAGUUCUCAGCUGUGCCCAGUGUCCUCCAGUCCAGUCCCUCUAUGAUUCAACCUUUCCUCAUAGGUGCACACAGGGAUGAGAAGAAACAACGGGAGUCAGAGUGUUUCUGGCACAAAUGUUCAACACGUUUAUUUUCAGCACAUCUGUACCCAAGUUCUACAGAGGGCACCAGCAUCUGUUUUUUCUAAGGUUUUGUGGUAUAGCUGGUUUGCCUCUUUGGGUUCCCCUUUUGGGAGUUUAGAUUUCAGUUUUAUAUUCUGUGUUAAAUUCAUCACUUUUCAUUCACCAGCUUUUUUAUUUCCUUCUGUCGUCUCUGUUCCUGUUCUCUCUUUGUCUACAGUGGUGUGCUGGUAAACAGUCCACAAAUGACUCUUGGAUAAAGUGAGGUACCUGAUUUGCAGCAGUCUGACUGCCGAGGUAUAAAUACUUCUACUGUGACCAAUUUGAAGGCACGGAAAGAACAUCUCUGGAUAUGCAGUUGGAAAGAAAUGCAAAGUAGCACCUCAGUAUGUGAGAUUUCUACUAACCCGGGACAACUGAUGUGAGCAAUGCUGGUUAGUAACCUCUAGAGAAAACAUAGUUAUAAAAGUAUUAGAAAAUUGUAAGUUUUGAGAAUUUAUUAGCUUUGCUUUUAAUGUAUUUUAAAAAUUGUAAGCAUAUAUCAUUUUAGUUUUUUUGAUUUGUUGUGUACUGGGGAUUGAACUCGGGGUCACUCGACCACUGAGCCACAUCCCCAGCCCUAUUUUGUAUUUUAUUUAGAGACAGGGUCUCACUGAGUUGCUUAGCACCUUGCUUUUGCUGAGGCUGGCUUUGAACUCAAGAUCUUUCUGUCUCAGCCUCCUGAGAAGCUGGGAUUAUAGGUGGGCGCCACUGAGCCUGGCCUUGUUUAGUUUUUAAAAUGACUGUUUCACAUCCAGCUAGAAAAAUUCCUAAAAAAAUCUUACAAUCGGCUGGCACAAGUCAAUAUUGGCUGGGCCUAACCUACAUUGGGUUUAUGCCUUUAUAAUGAUUUUAUUGUCUUUUUAGUGUAUUAUUAAUAAACUUUUUUUUUCAAUCAACUGCCGUACAGCAUGCAAUUACUUGGCCUCCUAUUGUUAACAGAAUAGUAAUCCAGCCAAAGUUCACUUGGUCUAAUUGCAGUUCUCAAACCAUGACGAGGAACGGUGUCAAUGAUUGGGCAUGAGGUCUCACAGGUGAAGGCAGUGACUGCACCAACUCCCAAUGUGAUCUCAGUUUUGAAAAAGAACAUUUACUGUGUCUGUGUUUCUUAGCAACUCUCUGAAGUGGCGCCCAGCAGCUCCUCACUCUAAACCUGACAACCAGGAAGAGUUUAACAAAGCCAAACACCUGCAUAGAGCCUUUUAUUAGAGGAGCCCACAGCAGUUCACCAACGGUGCCUCAUUUAGUCUCGCUGUUCCUCCCAGUGGGAGGAGGAGAGGAAUCUCAUCAGCCCCAUUUUACAGAUGGUCAAGAAGAGGCCUGACAGCAGAUCAACACCAGCUCAGGCAAGAUCAACAGAGUCUUCUUGUUGCCUGAAAAUCUAGCAUGCUCUCUCUCCAUAGCAACAGAAUCUUGUGCACUAAGUUAUGUUUCCUGAGUCUAGGCAGGUGGACGAUUCAGUUUUACUAUCUGAAAUAUCAAGGAGUUCUUUCUUUGUUGGUAACAGGAUUGAACCCAUGGUUGCUUAACCACUGAGCUAAGUCCCCAGCCCUUUUUACUUUUAAUUUUGAGAGAGUCUUGAUAAGUUGCUGAGGACCUCCCUAAGUUGCUGAGGCUGGCUUUGAAAUUGUGAUCCUCCUGCCUCAGCCUCCAGAGCUGCUAGGAUUACUGGUGUGCGCUACCACGCCUGGCUUCAAGUAGUUCUUUUAAAUCCUAAAUUGGAUGAUUCUGGUUCUGACCAUUGUGAACCCUCCCACACCUUCUGUUGUGUGUGAUUUGUAGUAUUUUAUGGUAUGUUACCCAACAUCAUUUUGUCUAAAGAAGUAGGGGAUUGUUGGCAGGUACACAAAGCCAUCCUUUGGGUGCAAAUUAAGGGUCCAGGUACUAUAGUUUGGUUUCUCUGUUGAGCAAAUAGCAAAGCAUUAAUAAUGGCCAAAAUAGAAAAUAGACUUUCCAAACAUUUGCUAUGUGCCACAUGUGGAAUUUAGUAUUUAUAUGCAUCAUUGCAUUUAAAUCUUUAUAACAGAAUUGUGGCUGGUAUUAAUAUAUCCCUAUUUUGAAGAUGAUGAGAGUAAAGGUUAGACUGACAACACAGCCAGGGAGUGGGCUGGAAGCAAAACACCAUCCCAGCCCAGACCCACAUGCUUGUAGGGGCUAUUGUCAGCCCUUCUGCUCCAUCUUUUGCUAACUCAGCUGGCCUCUUGGCUAAAGGGACUAGUGUGGAGGUGAACCUGGCACCUAAGAGAGUCCUACCUCAGAACUUCCCACUGGACCUCUCAGAAGAGCCCUUUGUUCUGUGGCCACAGAGUCUGUGACUGUGACUCAGGGAGAUGGACUUCCAUGUCCAAGGCUGUGUGAAGGUCACUUUCUAUAGGAAGAGAAGACAAAAUCUACACAGAGAGAGAAAAACAGAGAUAAGGAUGGGGGUUGAGGGUGGAGAAUUCUCACAGCAUCCAAAUCUUUCCUUUAAGUUCCUGCCUCCAUUGUCCAGCUAGUUUGAAUUCAACUUUAAAAAAUUUGUUCUUUUUAGUUAUACAUGACAGUAGAGUGUAUUUUGACAUAUCAUAUAUACAUGGAAUGUACUUCCCAUUCUUGUGGUUGUGCAUGCGGAGUCCCUCUGGUCGUGUAUUCAUAUGUGCACACAGGAGAGCUAUGUCUGAUUCAUCCCACUGUCUUUCCUAUUCCCAUUCAACCUCUCUUCCCUUCAUUCCCUUUUGUCUAAUCCAAAGUACUCCAAUUCUCCCUCCCCACUUAUUGUGUGUUAGCAUUCACAUACCAGAGAGAACAUUCAGCCUUUGGUUUUUUGGGAUUGGCUUAUUUCACUUAGAAAGAUAGUCUCCAGUUCCAUCCAUUUACUAGCAAAUGGCAUAAUUUCAUUCUUCUUUAUGGCUGAGUAAUAUUCCAUUGUAUAGACGUGCCACUUGAAUUCAGCUUUUGUCACUUGGCCACUGGGAGAGUCCCAACCAAUACAGAAUUUACACACCUGCUAUGCUGCUGCUGGUACCACAUUUACCAGGACAGGAGAGCCACCACUGGGUCUCCUGGAUUCACUCCAACCUGUCUCUCUGAAAUCUGUAAGCAGGUCAACUAUGCACACACUACACCCCUUUCUUCCCCUCUAAAUACAUUCUGUAUCUCCUCUGGAAGAUUUUUCUUCCUGUCUUGUUACCCGAUCCAAGCCUCCUAAUGCAGAUGUGGUUCGUAGUGAUAAGAAGACACCUGAGUUGAGAUGCAUUAUUAGGUCUUCUGAUGCCAAGAGGCACAGAAUUGAACAAUAGGAGGACAGUCGCGACCUCAGCUGUGGGUCCCCUUACUGUACAGUUCCAUUGGCCAAUUUUUUUGGAGGGGUCAUGGGGCAGAAGCGGGGAUGGGGACAUCAUGGCAUUGCCAGUUUCAUUUUGGCAAACAGGGCUAGUAGGCUUAAAGUUACCCUUGCCUCACUCUUCAUGCAUUUACUUAACAAGUCUAAUAAAUAGUCUUCUGUAAACCCUGGGGUUAUAAAGCAAUCUUAUAGUCCAAUCCUUAGAAGAGUAUAAAAGGUCACAUUGAUUCUUCCUUUCAUUGUAAUUGAUACCUUAGAUUACCUUCUAGAAUGUAGGGGGCAGUGUGUGGAAGUGGGAACUACCUUGCUAGUGAUACUUUUCAAAAUGAAUUACAAGCUAGAAAGGGCCAAGGGAGGAGAGGAGGUGGCCCUGGCAGUAGAACUUAAUAUAGUGUGGCCUUGGGGCAGGUGUAGGGACCCAGAGUAGGCAAAAGGUCCAGCCUUCCCUGCAGGGGCCAGCAGGCCAGGUGCUGAGGAGGGCAUGGGGCUCUGUGGAACCAAGGGCCUGGGGUUGCUGUGUUCUGACGUGCUUUGGAACCAAGUAGACGAGCCACUCUGAGGCUUUAAACUCUUUGAUGACAGGCUGUGAGGGAUUGUGGUUCCCUUCACCUCUCUGCUUAACUGACUAGCAAAUUGCCUUUGGGAAAAGUUGUGCCUUUAGGACAAUAGCCAGAGCAAGUGGAGCACAUUAACCAGAGUGGCUGUAACAUCGCACACUGGGCUAGACACAGAGAAGGAGCCUCUUUGGUAUCCACAGUACUUGCACUUAAGCAAUAUAAAUUUUUAAGAAUCUCUUCUUUCUUGCUUACUUUCUCCCUUUCUUUUCUUUUCGUGGUGCUGGGGACAGAACCCAGGGGCCUCUUGCAUGCUAGGUAUGUACUCUACCACUGAGCUACACCCCAGCCCCAAUUUACAAGAAUCUGAAAACUGCUGGCUAGGUGGUCUGAAAAGUCUCCAGUAAGCAAAGCAUAAUGAAUGGAAAUGGAGUGUACAGGACCCGUUACCUUUAACUUACCGUGUCAUUGUUGGUCUCUUCACUAACUGUUGUUUUAUUUAAAUGAUAACAAAAAUGGCUCAUCAGAGCGUUUGUGGAUUCAGUGCUUUCUCUUGCAAUCAUGUUGUCCUAACUUUCUAUCUUUAAGAUGACUUUUAGCUCCUGAGGCCCCAGGUUUCCUGCAGAGGUGAUGGUGAUGGGUGUUCCAGCCAGGUGGUCAGGCCUUUGGUGGUCAAAGUGGUCAGCAGCCUCCAAGCUGGUCCUGGACCCUCCAUGCCUCCCAGGGAGCACCCCUUUUUGCAGUACCUGCCCGUAACAGGACAGGGGUAGUUGGGGCAACCAGUACAGCGAAACCAGAGUGAAGUUCAUUUACAAGAUUAAGUCUUAAAAGACACUGCAGGUCUCAUAGUCAGUGCUUUCUCUUGGAUCUCUCAUUCAGGAUGCCAGCUGUCACAUCACAAGGACAGGCAGACUGUGAAUGGAGAGGCCAUGAGGUAAGGAACUAAGACCUGUAGCCAGACAGUGAGGGCCUAAGCCCACCAAUAACCAUGCAGGUGCACUUGAGGGUGGAGUCAACCUCAUGAGAGACCCUGAGUCAGGACCACUGAGCUAAAUCACUCCCAGACUUCUGGCCCUCGGAAACUGUGAGACACCAUGCAGGUGUGCUGUUGUAACCUACUGUACUGGGGGAAAUUUGUUACACAGCAACAAAAAUGAUUACAGAAAGGAGAGUUGGUAUUUCUUCCCUACUAGCCUUCCUCUCUCAAGAGGAGGCCCCCAUGACUUCUAUGGAGGGAGCUGUGCAUGUCCACUAUUAGAGGGGUUGGGGCAUACUCUCUUCCUUUGCUAGGCUGGAGGUACCACAUUUUGAAUUAAAUUUAGAAAGUGAUUUCCCUUAUGCUCUUUGCUACACUCUGAUGACCCCUUUUAUUUGGAGGUGUGGAUGAAGGAGCACACAUGGAAUCUAGAAGAUGAUAGACAGCCAUUCUUCUUGUCCCCAUUUCAUUUUGGUGGAGUAAGGGAAACAUCUUUUUUUUUGUGCACACAAAAGUUUUAGAAACUGGUCUCAAAUAAGAAAAAAAAAAACUUCAAUUAUUUGUUUCUUAUUAUAAAAGCAGUAAUACAAGUAGAGAAAAAAAUUUAAAAAGCAAAACCAUUAAACACCAAUAAUGACAUCAUCCAGAUGUAAAUACUGUUAACAAUUAGAGUAUAUCCUCAACCACUUGUACCUAUGUAUACAGUUAUCUUUUGCUAUCCAUGGGGGAUUGGGUCUAGGAUCCCUGAAGAUACCAAAGUCUGAGGAUGCUCGAGUUUCUUAUGUAAGAAGUAAAGUAUCUGCAUAUAAUAAAUGCACAUCCCACUGACACUUUCAAUUAUCUCUAGAUUGCUUAUGAUAUCUAAUAUAAUAUAAAUAUUAUGUAAAUAGUUAUGCCACAUUGUUUAGGGAAUCAUGACUGGAAAAAGAUGGUACAUAUUGUACAGACACAAUUUUUCUAUGAAAAUAUCUUUGAUCCAUGGUUGGUUUAAUCUGUGGAUGCAGAACUCUCAGGUAUGCAAGGCUGAUUAUAUAUUUUACACAAGUAGAUAACAUAAGUACAAUUUUGUGACUUUGUUUUUCAUUAGAUAUAUAAACUUGUGUUUAGGUUGUUAUGGUAUCAUGUCAUUUAUCGUUAUAUUUUUAAAUGGCUGCAUAGUAUUCUAUCAUAUUGUAUCAUAUGUAUUCUAUCAUUCAGAUGUGUUAUCAUUUAUCAUACCAAUUCCCUUCUAUUGGUUAUAAAUUUAUUUCUAAUUUUGCUAUUUUAAGUUAAGCUGUAAAGAAUAUGCUUGUAGCUAAAUGUUUGUACCUACCUUGGCUACCUCCUUUAGAAUAGUAAUAAAAAGAAA